rnacentral:rRNA from 1 species
AGUGAACGCUGGCGGUAGGCCUAACACGUGCAAGUCGAACGGCAGCACAGAGGAGCUUGCUCCUUGGGUGGCGAGUGGCGGACGGGUGAGGAAUACAUCGGAAUCUACCUUUUCGUGGGGGAUAACGUAGGGAAACUUACGCUAAUACCGCAUACGACCUUCGGGUGAAAGCCGGGGACCUUCGGGCCUGGCGCGGAUAGAUGAUCCGAUGUCGGAUUAGCUAGUUGGCGGGGUAAAGGCCCACCAAGGCGACGAUCCGUAGCUGGGCUGAGAGGAUGAUCAGCCACACUGGAACUGAGACACGGUCCAGACUCCUACGGGAGGCAGCAGUGGGGAAUAUUGGACAAUGGGCGCAAGCCUGAUCCAGCCAUACCGCGUGGGUGAAGAAGGCCUUCGGGUUGUAAAGCCCUUUUGUUGGGAAAGAAAUCCUGUCGGUUAAUAACCGGUGGGGAUGACGGUACCCAAAGAAUAAGCACCGGCUAACUUCGUGCCAGCCGCCGCAGUAAGAC